UCAUGAGCGAGGACUCACAAGCCUAGCCAUGUGGGCUCAGGAGAGGCGCCUUUGGCUCACGACUGGCUCUCACCUUCCAGGUAAAAUGAACCCAAGUUACCUGCCUGGAUGCUAAGGAAAGAGUCUCUGCAGAAGUUGGCAGCGUUAUGUUUUUAUCUACAGCAGCAAAAGUAUCACUUGCAAAUGCUCAACAAAAGGGUACAUGUCAAGACCCAAAUUCCACUAUUAAUACAACCUGACCCAGGUUCUAGGCCCAGCAGCUCACAGUCUCAGAAGGAGAGUUCUGCCUCCAGACCGCAGCCACCCUUCUACUCGCGGGGACACUCUCCAAGCUGCCUGCACUGUUUCAAACAGGGGGCCUUGGGAUGGAAGCCCGGAUCGCAGCCCAGUACUGUCUGACUCGAGGAAAACCAUGAACGUCAGCCUGGGCCCAAUGCCCCUGUGUCUCGUCUACUGAAUCGAGGAUGCCUUCAGAGAGAGGCCACCACAGCGACUUGACUUCGGCACCAU